UGCCUAUUAGCUAGCCCCACCAUCUAAAUUCAACAAAUAAAUAUCAAUAAACCCAAAAGCACUAGACUUAUCUAAACAAAACAUUUUUCCUCCCUAGUAUGGGCGACAGAAAAG
rnacentral:rRNA from 1 species